rnacentral:rRNA from 1 species
UGGGGAAUAUUGGACAAUGGGCGAAAGCCUGAUCCAGCCAUGCCGCGUGUGUGAAGAAGGCCUUUUGGUUGUAAAGCACUUUAAGCGAGGAGGAGUCUACUUGGAUUAAUACUCUAGGAUAGUGGACGUUACUCGCAGAAUAAGCACCGGCUAACUCUGUGCCAGCAGCCGCGGUAAUACAGAGGGUGCGAGCGUUAAUCGGAUUUACUGGGCGUAAAGCGUGCGUAGGCGGCUUUUUAAGUCGGAUGUGAAAUCCCUGAGCUUAACUUAGGAAUUGCAUUCGAUACUGGGAAGCUAGAGUAUGGGAGAGGAUGGUAGAAUUCCAGGUGUAGCGGUGAAAUGCGUAGAGAUCUGGAGGAAUACCGAUGGCGAAGGCAGCCAUCUGGCCUAAUACUGACGCUGAGGUACGAAAGCAUGGGGAGCAAACAGG